GACGAAGGAUGCAAGCGUUAUCCGGAUUCAUUGGGCUUAAAGGGAGCGUAGGUGGCCUUAUAAGUCAGUGGUGAAAUCUCUGGGCUUAACCCAGAAAUUGCCAUUGAUACUGUAGGGCUUGAGUAUAGUUGCCGUUGGCGGAAUAUGACAUGUAGUGGUGAAAUACAUAGAGAUGUCAUAGAACACCGAUUGCGAAGGCAGCUAACGAAACUAUAACUGACACUGAGGCUCGAAAGUGCGGGGAUCAAACAGG
rnacentral:rRNA from 1 species